rnacentral:lncRNA from 1 species
GACCCGGCCGGUGCCACGGCCGUAGGGGGCCGGCGCGGGGGGNCCGGCGCGGGGGGGGGUGCCGCCGGGUCCCCGGGGGCCGGUGGAGGUGGAGGGGCACCCCGACGUCACGGUCACGGCUACGACGCCCGUCCCCCACGGCUUCCCCGCCUGCUCGCCCCGAACUCCGGAGCAGACGUCGCGGCUUCCUUUCGCGUCCCCGCGGGACCCCCGCGGCGCCGGAGGCGGCAGCAUCCGGGCCUUCCCGGGGCCGGCGCGCCGAGCCCGGCCCCAGCGCCCGCGCGGUUGACCGUGAACGCCCCCCGAGUCGGGGCGCGGCCCCCGGGCGGCCGAGAGCUCCGCCUCGUCUCAGGGGCCCGCUGCGCUUCCCGCCUCCUCCUUCUUUGGUCGCCGGCACCCCUGCGUCCCGGUGCUCCGGGCACAGAGUCGCAGGAGCUGAGAGCUGCGGCCUAAGGUGGCGUCAGACUCCUCCUAGUCAGGGCCUCGGCCGGCCGGCCCGCCCGGGAACCCCCCCGGCCCCAACCCGGCGUGCUGGACAGGACCUUUCCCCCCAGGAGAGAAUGCAGGUGAAGAAAAGGAGGCGCAGAAAGGUGCUAGCACCAUUAGUGGUAAGAAAAAAAAUUUGCUUAUAUCUUUAAUAUGUACUCAAGUCGAUAUUAAAACUGGCAGGCAAAAGUGAGUCUCAAGCUAGAUGUGUUCAUAACAUUAAUGAUUAAUUACUAUAUUAAACAUGGUAAUUACAGUAAUUAAUUCGAGCAAUAAUUAAAUCCUGAAGAUCUAAGAGUUAUUAAGAAUAAGCAGGUUUGAAUAACUAGAUCUAUGGCCAGAGGGUUUCUUCCUUCCUACUUAUCUCUGUGGAGCCUACAGAAAAGGUGACUGCUCAUCUCUCUUAUCCACGGGUGAAGAGGAACCGGGUGGUCCAUUUUAUUUCUUCUAUUUCAGAAAUCUUUCUUAUGGUUCAACAGAUGAGACAGAGAAAAAAAUCAAGAAGGAAAGCCAGGCUUCCUUAAGUGCCCAAACCCCUCAGAGGGCAUGUUAACUCCCUGGCUGUUCCUUGAUUCAGGUGCUAUAGAAGUUGAGGGCUUUGUGGUGCCCAUGGACCAGGAGAACUUAACUUGCAAUUCAUUACCUGUAUACGAAGCACUCCUACUAGGAGAGAGAUCCAGGCUUUAGCAAGUUGUGACAACUUACUCUUUUUAUGUUAACAUUUGUUUCAGGCUUUCUUGGUAGCAGAUGCCGAGCUAAGAGUUUUAUGUGUGUUUUCUCAGUUACUCUUCAUAACAGCCUUAUGAUGUGGGUUUUACUGUCCCCAUUCAGAGACAGAAAAACUGAAGCUUAGAGAACUUCUCUAAGUUCCUCCUCUUUACAGAGUAAGUGAUAAGUUGAAAUUUAUAGCCCAUGCAUUUAAUUCUCAUAUGUGGAAGCCUCAUAUCUUAAGAACGUAAGAUUAAUAAUGUAACUAGGGAUUUAACCUUCGAUUAUUUUCUGAUUUUAAGUGCUUAAAUUUUGGAAGCCUGUUGUUAGGUUGUUAUAAUACCUGUAUGUACACUAUGAGUUAUCUAAGUUCUGUAAAAAAUAUUAAAAAUAUAUAAUUAGGCAUAUGCAUAGAGAAAAAUUAACUUCUCCUUUUGGGGUUUUACUGUGGACAGAAUUGAACCUCUCAGAAUAGUAAUGACUUGUUUAUUGGACUCAUAGCCUAGUAAAGACAUAGCAUGGGUCUAUAAUGUCAUACAGAUAAAUUAUUCAUAAAGGAAAAACAUCCAGUUACCACACAUUUCCCAAAAUAUGGGUUUUUUCCCCUAUAGUCCAGUCUUUGGCCCUAUGCAUACUUUUGCUUAAAGGCAAUUAUGUUUGCCACAAUUUUGAAUUCUACUUCUUUUCCCGCUUUUAUCACAAGUACUAUCUGUGUUUCUGUGGUAUAAUUUUUAUUUGAUGAUUAGUUAAAACAGUGGAAGUACCAUUACUCAUUACGUAAGGUAUCUUUCUUUCUUUUCUUUCUUCCUCCCCUCCUCUUUUCUUUUCUUUUUUCUUUUCUUAGGGCCGCACUCGUGGCAUAUGGAGGUUCCCAGGCUAGGGAUCAAAUCAGAGCUACAACUGUCCGCCACAGCCACAGCCACAGCCACAGCCACAGCUGUAUUAACACGUGAUCCAAGCCAAAUCUGUGACCUACACCACAGCUCACGGCAAUGCCGCUUUCCAGACCCACUGAGUGGAUACUAGUUGGAUUUGUUUCUGCUGUGGCACAAAGGGAACUCUCUUUUUUUUGAGUGGAAUUGGCCCAUAUCUGAACUUUUUUUUUCUGCUUUUAGGCCACACUCGCAGCGUGUGGAGGUUCCCAGGCUAUGGGUCGAAUCGGAGCUGUAGCUGCACAGCUACAGCAACGCUGGAUCCUUAACCCACUGAUGGAGGCCAGGGAUCGAAUCCGCAGCCUCACGGUUCCUAGUCGGAUUCGUUAACUACUGAGCCACGACGGGAACUCCCAUAUCUGAACUUUUUAUGUUUCGAGAAUUUUCUCUCUGUGAGCCAGAAAAGGCCAUAUCCUUGCUUUCUUGGUAAGCCCAUCGUUUCCAGGACAGCUAUGGUGAAGGUGCUGGAGAUAGCAUGCAGCAGCACUUAGGGCUAGUGGUUUGGCAGCAUCGGGGCUUGGGGUAAGGGUAGUGCUCUCCUCCCCAGACUGGCUGUGUGGUGACAUUUAGCCCUCACUCUGGCUGUCAAACUUUCUAUUGUUCAAGCUUGAUUUCUAGUCUUCUCAGCAAUUUUUUGAGCUACCUGUAUGUUCUUCUUCCAAUUAAAUAACCAGUAGUCAGUUUCUGCUGCUUACAACUAAGAAUCCUGACAAUGUACCAUGCGAUCCAUCAAAUAAAUUUGCCUUGAAAUGUUUUAGGACUUAUGGA